AUGCUCAGGUAGGGUCAGUUAUGGUUAUUGCUGUGGGGUCUGAAUUGGUGGCUUGACAACUAACAGGGAGGGCACAGGAGGGUCCUGCUGGUAACAAACACCCCUAAAUCUCAGUGGCCUGAAAAAUAAGGACUACUUUGUGUUUUAUGUGACUUAUAUAUGUGGGUUGAUGGGGGUCUCUGCCUGUGAGAGCCGCUCAGAGAUUCAGCAGAUGGAACAUCCCUUUGCUUAGGCAUAUGGGCUAUCAUGUCAAGAUGAGCGGGAAACAUGGGAGGUCCUUGACUGGGCACUUAGUAGCUGUAGUUGAGAAGAGGGCAUGGCCCUAAUCCUAUCUGUAAUGGCUCUCAACUUCAAAGAUGGUGGCCCACACAGAGGCUGGGAAGAGCUAUUCUUCCAGGAUCUGAGGAGAAGUGCAAUGUCUGGUGACUCUCUGCUCAGCCUUUGAGGGAAUUGUAAGGGUCCCCAUGUGACCAUGGGGAUGGAGAUGUGCACAGGGCGGGGGUCACUCCUGUUGGCAAACAGGUAUAAAACGGCAGAUAAAAACCUAGAUGUGUGACCCUAAGAUCCGGGUUCUGGGUGAAUAGUUUUAUUUUCUCAGCUUGUAACUUUUUAUAAUCAAGUCAUUUAAAGGAUUUUCAAAGGACUUUGAACCCACCACACAAAUUUCCAUCCUAGAAAAUCACCAUGGCCUAAGGACACCCCACGAAGACAUUGGCAGAUUUGACAUCUGCAGCUUAAGCCCCCUUCCUGUUUCCUUCUUUCUGUGGUAUUUUGUGUAAGUUCUGACCCAGGUGUACUUCGUGUGGCAAAUGGCCACACUCCUGAGAGCAAGACCCCUUCUGUCAUCCAUUCCCACGGUACCACAGCUCCUCACAGCCUCUGGCAUGGAAAGGGGGUCAGGAGGGGACAACCAUCAAGCCUUAUAGCACAGCAGCCCUCUGUCAUCCCAGCAGCUGUGUGUGUGUGGCAGGCAUGUCUUUCUAUUUCAAAGAUGGGGAAAUUGAGGCCUAGGGAGUGUGGAGCAGCUUGUCCAAUGCUGCCCAGUUAGUAGUGUGUAAAGCAAGGAACUGACCCGGAUGUCUGACCUCAAGGCUAGUGCGGCCUGCACACCCUCUUCUGAGUGGAGAGGGGGCAUGGAGAUGGGUGCUGUGUGGGAUGCUGGGCAACGUUCAGCUGGGACUCUGUGGCUUUCCUGGUGAUGCAGCUAUGAGGAGCUACUGAAGAACAGGGUUCUCUCAGGGAGGAUGGGAAAUCUGUGAGUCUAUCUUUUGUGGGAAGAAAGUUUAGCCCAGGAGUGGGAGGCCCCCCAAGUAGACAGUGAGGAGAGCUUCUGCCGUGGUGGAGAGAUCUGUAAGGAGCAUGAUUCUCUGAUAGGUUAAUUUUGGGUUGCUUAUCUUUUUAAGAAACAGCUUUCUGACACCUAGAGACUUUGCAUUUACAAUGACAACGUGGCUGUUACCAGUGUGGGCUCCAGAGUUGGAAAGAUUCUGAGCUCCUAACCAGCCACUUAACCUCUAGCAAUAAUAGAGUUGCAGUGGAGUUUAUUUAAAAUAGUUCAUGCAAAGAGCCACGCACAGUGCCUAGCACGUAGUAAGCAUGGCAUUAAUGUCAGUGGUUAGCAUUAUUAAUAUUAUUGAGAUGAGACUGGGGUCAGUGAACUCCUUAACCCAAAGCUUGUCAAGCAGUGAUGGAUGGGGGUCCGUCAGUGUUAUAGGAGAGACCGCUGCAAUGGAGUAAAGUUGAAUCUGAUCACGGUUAAGUCCCUUCAUCUGACUUUGGAUUCUGUCUUUGAUGAGCUGGAUGAUCUUGGGCAGGUUCCAGGGCCCCCCCGGCCCCUCAGCGUCUUCCUCUGUGAGCUCUCCUCUCUUGCCAGGGUGAAAGGGCAAUGAUCCAGGGUCCUGCCGGCAACUGAAGCACUGUGUCUGAGAGGUAACAUAAAGAAGAGCUUUGUUCUGCAGAGGUGAGGGUUUAAGAAGACUUUUCCAGGGCAUGGUGGUCCUGUGGAGUCUCUUUGGGGCUUUGAUCUGGCUUUGGUCCAGGGCCAUCAGCUUGAGAACUCAUCUUCCCCCCAUUCCUUUGAUGGGCUCCGGUACUCACUGAAGCAAAGUGCACAAAAACUCCCUAUAAAUGCCUGGUAAUGUGGCUCAGAAUUGGGCCCUGCAGGAUUAUUAGAGUCAUCCAUCUUAAUUAUACUGAAAAUCACUUACACAUUUUCCAUAACAAUGUUGCAUUUGCAAUUUCCCAGCACUGAGCCAGUUGCCUGGCAGGGCUCUCCCACUCUCUGCAGGGGUGGGUGGUGUGGGGUGGGGAUGAGUGGGUGAGGGAGGUGGGGGUGGGAACCAGGGGACAAUGAGAUGGGCAUGUACUUCCCCCUUUCCCAGUGGGUACUGAUUCUCCAUAUCCAGCAUCUUAUUUAGCAUUUUGCAUGGCCCUUCGAUUCGAGGCUCAUCUGCUUAUUGCCAUUUUACAGAUGAGAAAACAGAGGCUUACAGAGGCUGAGUGACUUGCACAAAAAAAGAUGCUAAGAAAUAGUGGCUUCAAGAAGAAAAAGCUCUUCUGCUUUCCAUUGGUGUUUCUGCAGAUGCCUCUCCUCUGCCUCUGCCUCACCCUCCCAGUUUCUAUUUUGUGGUUUCUAGGAAGCCAUGAUCAGGAUGAAUCACUCUCUCAUGUAAUAUAGUUUCCCCUGUAUAACCACAGAAAGCAUGCCCAUACAAACACACUUGCACACAUGCAUAAAAACGAUACACACAGGCAAACAUGCACAUACACGGGCUUUCCUCUCUUACUCCAUGGACAGACGAGUCUCUCUACUGCUUAGUACCGGGCCUGAGUUUCUCUGGUAGCACAUCUUUAUAUAGGGCAAAAGCUGGAUUCUCUCUUCCCAUUCACCCGGGAUCAAUACUGAAGGUAGAAGUACAUUCUGACCAUGAGCUUACUCAGGAAGAAAAUCUAUUUCCAGGAGUCAUUCCUGGGAGUCUGAGUUCCAUGUAAGAUUGGAGCUGAAUGGGGUCUUGGUGAGUUGACAUGGGAUGAAAUACUUCAGGUCUGGGGGUUCCCCCCAUAUGGGGGUCUCUCCCACAGAGCUUGAGAUUACUGAGCACAUAGAAAGUUGAAGCCAAAAGACAAAUACAGGAAGUCAGACCAAAAAAAAUUAUGAACAGUAUAUGCCAACCCAGUGACAUUGUGUCUAAGGGAAAAUGAAUCCUGCCUCUGAGCCUUGAAGGACUCAGACAGGCAGGAAGGGCAAGGGAAGGGGGGAUAGGUGCUUGAAUGGGUGGGUGUGGCCUGCAGAGGGAGGUAGAACAGAAGGAAGCAUGAAACAAAAUGGGCGUGCCUCUGGUCAACAGGUGGUUCCUGGGGAGGGGAUUCCUGAGGGUGAGAAGGAGGGAGGUGAGAGAGGAGACUUUGAUAGGGGUCAGAUACUGGAGCUCAGGCAUGACUUACUGCUAAAGGGAGGGUCUUCUGGAGGGGAUCCUGGGGGCAGGUGUGAGUAGAGCUCAGUUCCUCCUGUGUCAAAGAUGGUGACAGAAGACAUGUGGGUCCAUGAUCCAGGAAAAAGCAGGUGAGCCCAAGUAAGAAGGGAGUCAGGUAAUUGCAUACUAGGGGAGCUGCCAGUGUCACACCCUGCUAGUGUGCCUGGUUGCUCCCACCUUCCUGGGGAUGUAGAAGGGAAAUUUUGGGGCUCUGGCUGAUGGGACAUAUCAGUCAACUUUUCGUCUCUGUGACCAAAAUACCUAAGAACAACUUGAAGAGAAGUUUAUUUGGGGCUCAUUGUUUCAGAGGUUCACUCCAUGUCAAUUGACUCCAUGACUUUAGGCCUGAGUAAGGCAGAAUGUUCCGGCAGGAUGGUGUGGUAGAGGAAAGCUGCUUAGUUCCCAGCAGCCAGGAAGCAGAGAAAGCCAGGAGGAAGAGCAGGUGAGCCCAAGUGAGAGGGAGUCAAGACAGAAACAAAUGAAGUCCCAAGGGCACACCCCCAGUGACCUACCUCCCCCAGCCAUGCUCCAACUGCCACAGUUACUACCCGGUAGUCCAUUCAAGUUGUUAACCCAUCAGGUGGAUUAAUCCACUGAUGGUAUUGUAGUCGUUGCCAUCUAAUUAGUCUAGUCAUUUCACCUCUAAACAUUCCUGUUUUGCCUAACACAUGAGUAUUUCAGGGGACAUUAAACAUCUUACACUGUAACAGUGUAAGAGAGAUGGUAUCCUGUGGCAGAACGAACUCAGUGGAACUGGCCAUACUGGGUGCAGGGCCCACCCACUUAUAGCUGGGCUGGGAGCUGGGAAGUCUGUCUUGCCAGGACCCGAAGUAAGAGUAGGCUGCUUCUGGAACAUGCAGAAGUCGCUUAGAAUUUUUCUGGACCUCUUGUUUUCCCCAGCACAGACUUCCAAGUGCUACCAUGUGGAUCAAAUUAUGAGCUCCCCACUUCCCAACAGCACCCUGGACACUCUGGGCAAGGAUGUGCAGUUCUCAGGGCCUGCAGGGGCAAUCUCCAUGAAUCUAUCCUUGGAUGAGCACCAAGAAAGGGGGCUGGUGAGUGAGCUUGCACCCCAAGGAGGUCUUGAAACCUGACGGUUGCAUUUGUUGCUGAUCCAGAAUGGUGACAGCAGCCUGGGUAGAAACUUCUAGGAGUCAAGAAAUAACUCGAGUAUCGCCAGCUUCAUCUGAAAGUCCAGGAUAUGAUGCAUCCAGGUUCAAGAGAGGACUUGAACCUCUCAUCUAGGCAUUAGGGAUGGAGUGAAGGCACCGGGAGGGGCAUGGAGCUCACAGCCCAAGCACAGCCCCUGUCUGUCCCACUCCAGGGCCUCCUGGAGCACAGAGCAUCCUCUAGUAGCAGCACAAGCUUGUAUUUUGGGACGAGGCAUUCAUUUGUUGAGGUCCCUCAAGGCAUCCCCCAUGUAUCCCAUGUCAGUUCUGGGAGCUGAGAGUUAUAUUUAAUGGUUCUCAUAGGAAGAAUUUAAGACUUGUCAUGUCAGAAACUCAUGAUAGCCUGGGGAGGGAAGAAGGGACCCUAUUGGGCCUGGUGUGAAGCCCGUGCAAUUUUCCCAGCACCUACUGCCUCCUUGACCUCUUCUCACUUCCUCUGUUCAGACUUUCCCCUCCUUGGAGGCUGGCGGUGUGGUGAGAAGCUUUCCAAAGAGAUGAUGUAUUCAUCAGGGUUCUCUAGAAUAACAGAACCAAUAGUAUAUGUAUUUGUGGAAUUGUCUUAUCUGCAGAGCCAUUGUCUCAACUCAAAGACCAUCCUUCAAGAAGAAUUCUCUUAUACUGAUGGAAGGCUCAGCCCUGUUGUUUUAAUCAGGCCUUAGAUUGAUUGGAUGUGGUCCGUCAUGUGACAGAUCAAUCUGCUAUACUCAAGUCUACUGAUAUAAUGUGAAUCUCUCCAAGAAACACAAGCACAUCCAGAUAUUUGAUUUAAUCAAAUAUCUAAGCAUUCUGUAUCCUGGUCAAAUUGACACAGAAUGAGUCAUCAUAGAAAGGGGUGUCUGUGCAAAAGAGGUGAUAUAGUUUCUGCAAUUGCCUGGGUAUGAACUCUGUCUCUCUGAGUCCCAGUUUUCUCAUUUAUAAAAGGCAUAUUAUGAGCAUGAGAGAAGCUAAUGGAUUGGUACUACCUAGGAAACUGGGAUAUGAUUGACCCCUGACCAAAUACACACGGGUCAGUAUCAACCAUCCCUCCCAGAAGAGACCCUGCAGGCAGUGGUGUGGAUGCCUUUAAGCACUCUUCAGCUGUUCUUUGGCCCCCUGUAGCUGAUGGUCUGCAGGACUGAAGGUGAUACAUUGAGAUGCUACCUGUUCUCUGGGGUCUGAGAGCCCUAUCUGUUGAUCUGUGAGGUUACCAUGUCUCCGGUGUCAGGCUGACUUUGAGGUCAGGGGAGUCAGUGGGAGUUACAAGCAAGUCUCAAACACCACUGCAGUUGCUGUGUGAAGAAAGCACUGAGGGCACCUCCCUCUGCUUUAUUUUGAUGGUUCCUUGUCUGGGUCAGUGUUCUAAACUGGGGCCUCUGAGCAUACCAGGAGAUGACUGUAACUGGAUGCUGACCCCACAACUCCUACCCUAUGUGCUCCUAAAAUAAGAUCUAGUGGGAAAACACCAGGCUUCUUAUUAGUUACAUGGCAAAAUUUAAAAAUCAACUGGGAGACUGUCACAUGGCAAUAGAUGUCAAACUGGCAAAGAAAAAUGGAAACAGAUUUUAUCUGCGUUCUUCACUCAUCUUUACCUGAAAUGUGUGAGAAUGAAUAACAUCUCAGGGAAUCAGAAAAGGACCUUCGGAGAUCAAAGCCUAGGGACCCCACAAUCCUGAAUAAGAGGCUCCUUGUCCAUGCACAUCUGUAAUACCUGAGUUUCUUCAUCAGGUGGAGCACAAAAAAACAAAACAAAACAAAACAAACAAACAACAACAAAAACAACAGCCUUUUCCUCCCUAAAGAGUGUAGUCCUUAGAAUGUAGUUUGGAUCUGGAAUGUUCCUCAAGGGCCCAGGUAUUAAAAGUUGAUUCCCAGCCUAUGGAGCUAUAGGGAAGUGGUAGAGCCUUUAAGAGGUGGGUCCUAGUUGGAGGAAAUUAGCUCAUUUGGGAUGCACCCCUGAAGAGGAUAUUGGGCCUCUGGUUCCUUCCUUUUUCCCUCUUUGUUUCCUGGCUAUCAUGAGUGAGCAGCUUUGCUCUACCACGUUUCUUCCAUAAUAUGCAGGACUGCUGUAGGACCAAAGUAACAGGGCCAAACACCCAUGGACUGAAACCUCUGAAACCAUGAGUCAAACUAAAUCUUUUCUCUUUGUAAUUUGUUUCUGUCAUAUGUUUUGUCACAAUGAUGGGAAACUAACUAAUACAGUUCUAUUGGGGACUUAUGUAGGAGGCAAUUCUAGACAAAGCCAUGUACACAGAGCAAAUUCCAACAUCAGAGAGCCAGAAACUAGCUUUUUAGGCUACUCUGAUGCCCCAGCUAACCAUGGUAACCCCAUUUUUGGACCUUGCUUUCUCUCUGGGCAUCUAGCUUCCAGACAAUGUCUGGAACAGGGUAGGUAGGUAAAUAUAAUAUUUAUUGAAUAGAUGGAUGGUCACAUGCAUAGGUGAAUAGAUUGGUAGAUGGAUGGUUAAAUGAAUGGUGGAUGGAUUCAUGGUGGGUGGAUGGAUGAAUGGGUGGAUGGUUGGUUGGAUGGAUGGUUGGUUGGAUGGAUUGUUGGUUGGAUGGAUGGUUGGGUUAUGUAGAUGGGUGAGUGGAUGAGUGAAUGGGUGGAUGGGGGAGAAGCAAGUAAUGUCAGUAUGGGUGGGUGGGUGGGAGCUUUGUCCCAUGAUUCGCCUCUUGCAAGGUGGAGACUCUUUUUGUAAGGCUUGUCUGUCACCAGAGAACUUUUCAUUCUCUGUCUCAGAAAGGCCAAAAUCAGACAGGUUCCUAUGUGUGUAGAGGGGUGAGAGGACAUUUGGGUGGAGUUCCUUUCACACCGUGGUGCUUAUUUUGUCUACAAGGAAAUGGGCACGGAGUACUGCCCCUUGGUGCCAUGGCAGAGCUAAGGCAGCACAGAAGAGGAUCCCUGGGAUAUGCUGCUGGGUUUCCAGUGAUGAUGUGCCAAAGCAGAAGGUCUUCAGGGUUGGUAGAGGAAGCUGGAGAUAAUCCAGAAAUAAACUCAGGGAGGCAACAUGCUGUGGGCUCUGAUGCUGGCUGGGGCAGGCUUCCUAGACCUGUCUCAAUCCACAGGAGAUGGGGAGGAGAGCAGCCUGCUAAGGUGUGGGAUUCCCUGAGCCUGUCCUUCCUCCUCAGGAAUCUUCCAGACUCUCAAUGUUUUAUAUUAAGAGAGAUUUUCCCGGGGAGUUGAGACCCUUGUGGGUAGGAACGGGUGACAGGAAAUCUGCCUCCCUGGGAACUCUGUUUCUCAGAUUUAGGCAUCAAUGCAAUGCUUUCUUAUGUGUCCCUGUUUACUAACCAGGCUGCUCUGUGGUGACAGUGUGCUCUGCCUUCAUUCCCCCAGGCUGACAUGUGGCUCAUAGUUCAUUCUUGCAUUCAUCUGAUGAGCUGAUGGAUGCCUAGUGCCGGAGAGUACCAAGGAGACACCCUUAGAUCCAGAAAGCCAGCAUCUGAGCCGAAGUGGAGUCAGCCAGUCUCUCAGGGCUCCCAGUAGGGGGCUUUCCAUCUUCACAUGCUGAGCUGACUAGGAAAAAAUGAUAAAGAAAAGCGGAAAGAUCACUUGGUGGGCUUGAUCCCCCUACCUCUGUGUGUUGUUCUGGUGAAGCAAAGGGGCAAGGCUUAGCCAGGUGGACUUUGGAAUGGCUGCACAUAAAGUACACUAUGUGUCCCAGGGGCCAGGCCAGGCCUGGAAUCUUGGGGCAUAUUGGAAAGCAGCAAGGCUAUGUGGCCAACACAUCAGGCUUUCAAUCCCACCUCUGUCAAUGCUAGGCAGUGUGACUUCAGACACAUCCCAGCCUUUCUGGGACUUGGUGUCCUUGUCUGUAAAAAUUGCACUUGCGUAACCUCUCUCUAGGAGAGUUCAUUCCAGGACUGAUGACAUUAUAUUGAAAACCAAACAAGCCAAACCUAGCACAUGGUAGGCUUCCAGUGAAAAGUAGUUGCUAUUGUUCUUUUUUUAAUAUUUAUUUUUUAUGUGUAGUUGGACACAAUGCCUUUAUUUUAUUUACUUAUUUUUAUGGGGUGCUGAGGAUCAAACCCCAGGCCUUGCACAUGCUAGGGGAGCGCUCUACUGCUGAGCUGCGGCCCCAGUCCUACUAUUGUUCUUUCAAGUGCAAAUUGUUUCUGGGUGAGCUCCACCUCUAUUUCCCAAUCUUCCCUUUCUUGCAGGACACAUGGCACUGUUUGAGUGACACAUGGGUAUGUGGAAGCAGGGAAUCAGGACGGAUUGCUACAGGUGUCCUUUUUCUGCCCAGUAGGUGCUGCUUCUGGCCGGCCUUGAAUCUCUUGGGGGCAGUUCUCAGCUAAAGAACCUUAUUUCGGAAUCUGCAUCAAGCUGAACAACUCUUUGCCUGUUUCCUGGGUCCUGGACCUAUGUUUUCAUAUGGUCCAGAUUCUGGAUAGUGCCCUUGAGGAUUAGGUGGGGUUCCCUUCUUUGUGCCAUGACCUCAUUAGCACUCUGCACACAUCAAAGGUGUAACAAAAAGAAGUUCAUUGUGCUAAUUAUCCCGUAAAUGCCUCCUUUGUGCCAAGCAAUGUAUACAAUGUAUUGGGCCACUUAUGUGCGUUGUCUGCACAAAUCCUCAACAGUAUCAAUGGGAGCAUGCCUCUGCAUUAAAAUGACUGGUUAGGGGCUUAGACAGAUUAAUUUCCCCAAGUCACAUAGCUGGGAAGUAAGUGGCAAAUCUGGACUAUUAAUUUUUUUUAGUUUUUCAAUUGUGAUGGACAAAAUUUACUUUUGAAACAAAUUUUAUGCGUGCGGUUCGGUGGCAUUAUGUACAUUCACAUUGUUGCGCACCAUCCAUCUUCUGAAUUCUUUCCAUUAUCCCCAACUGAAACUCAGCAUACAUUAAACACCAACUCCCAUUCCACGACCCACCAGCCCCUGGCAACCACCAUUGUACUUUCUGUCUCUAGGAAUUUGACUCCUGUAGGGACCUCAUAUAAGAGGAAUCAUCUAGUAUUUAACCUUUUGUGACUGGCUUAUUUCGCUUAGCAUGUGUCUUCAAGGUUCAUUCCUGUUUUAGCAAGGGUCAGAAUUUCCAUUCUUUAUAAGGUUGCUUAAUGUUCUGCUGUAGGUAUAACCACAUUUUGCUGAUCUGUCCAUUCUUUGAUGGAUAGUUCAGUUGCUUUCCUUUUAGCUAUAAUGAACAAUGCUGCUAUCACCAGCAAAUAUCAAUUUGGGAUCUUGCUCAAUUCUUUGAGUACUUAUCUAGAAGUGGGAUGAUGGACCACUUGAUAAUUUGAUGUUUAAAUUUUUGAGGGAACUUCAUACUGUUUUCCACAACAGCUGAGUCACUUUGCAUUCCUACCAAUAGGGCACAGAGUUUCAAUUUCUCCAUAUUUCACCAACAUUUGGUAUCUUCUGUUUUAUUUUUAUUUAUUUUUUGUUGUUUAAUAGUAGCCAUGUUAAUGAGUGUGAGGUGGUAUCUACUGUGGUUUUGAUUUGCCUUUCCCUAGUGAUGCAGAUCUGUAUUUUAAUAUUCAUACUUGGAGGAUGGAAUGAAACAAACUUGAGUGCAAAAUCAGAAGACUGUGUUUUCCUUGGAACCUCCAUAUUGCAGGUGAGCUGUACAUGCGGCAGGAUAGGUUGAGUGUGGGAGAUCCACAUCCUGGGUGUGUUAAAGAUGCAGUGGGUCAUUAGAACUCAGUCACCUCCUUCAUACUAUGCACAGCACCAAAGAGCAAUGACAUCAUGGUGCUCCCGAGACAGCUUGAGUGUGGGUGCUACCAGCUGGGGGUGCCUCCCUGCUUGCUGUGCCCUGGGCUGUCCUGGGUGUGUCCUUAACCAUUAGAGACCCAGAUUCCAUAGACACAGACAGGGGCUGUAAAAAAAAAGAUCUCUGCUCCUGAAGAUGGAGGGAGGUUAUGAGAAGAAGGGCUUUGAAGAUGGCAGCAAGUGGUCAAUGCUUCUACGUCUUGGUGUGAAACAUUAGCUAUGCCUCAUGCCCUCGUCUACUUCCUCCACCCCUGCCAGGCUAGGCUACCUCUCAGCUCCACCACUGUAUGGACAGUGACCAAUCUUCUUUCCCCAUGCAAAGCCAAUCAUGUAACUGUCCUGCUAAAGGCGCUUAACUAAUUCUCUGGUACCUGGGCCAAGUCCUUUAGAAGCCCUUAACUUGCAUAACCAUGGAGGGUAACGUGAGGGUGCCCCACCAUCGCCAUCUUGCUUGGCCUCAUACUGAGCCAUCCACACCACUCUGCCCUUGAGUGUCUGGCAGGCACACCUGACAUGCAGAGGAGACUGCUUUUAACCCCCCUUUGCUGUGGUUCUUCUAUCCCUGGAAUGUCCAGAGUCCUGUUUUUAUCUCUGAGCACCUAUUGAUUAUUCAGACUGUCCAGGUUGCUGCUGAUUUUUUAAAAAAAAUUUGCUGAUUUUGUGUGGUGAUUGGGCUCCUGAGCACUCCCAAAAGACACAGCCCCUCUUCCUAUGACAGCAUCCACUCUGCCACACUGCCUCAUCCCUCGAUGGAAAAUUCCCCACAGGGGACCUGCAUGAGGGUACACAGAAUGUCCUCAAAAUAUUGAUGAAUUAUAAGAGAAAAAGAGUGGAGGAUGAGAUGACAGAAUGGGUGGUGGAAUGGUGGAAUUGGGUCUGCCUCUAUUAAUACACAAAUGAGGUAGUUUUAUACAACUUUAAUAAAACAGAUUCUGAUAAAACAAAGGAAGAGUUACCCUGGUGAUUUCCACCCAUGGAAGGAGUUGGUGUGUAUUAUAUGACUACACAUCAGUCUCCCAGGCGUGUGUUUUGUUUAUGCAGAAACCAGCCUUAUUCUUCUUUGUUCCCUGAAGCCUAAAACAGAGCCAAGAUUUUGUCAAUGCAUAACACCCAUUCCCUCCCUGGGGUUGGGUUUACACAGGAAGAAUUUAAUACAUUUUACAACUAAAGUUUUGCAGGGGUUUCCACUCUUACAGUCGUGCAGGGACCAAGCUUAAUGGAGAUCCAAUCUCAAUAGGAGUUAUUCCGUCACAUCUGCAGUUUAGAUCUGAAAUGGCCCCCGGAAGCCCACAUACUGAAGGCCUGGUGCCAGCCCAUGGCAGACUGGAAGGUGGGGGAGCCUUUAAGAGGCAGGACCUAAUGAGAGAAAAUAGGUCAAUGAGGAAAUGCCCACGAAGGAGAUAUUGGAGCCCCAGCUCCUCCUCUUCCUUUCUUGUUUCCCAGUUGCCAUGAGGUGGUCAGGUCUGUCAGGAUGUGCUGAGCCACCAAAGGCCCAAAGCAAUAGGGCCAAAAGAUCAUGAACUAAAACCUCUGAAUCAUGGGCCAAAAUAAACCUUUUCCCCUUAUAAGUUGAUUUCAUCAGGUAUUUUGUCCCAGUGAUGAAAAUCUGAUUAAUAACAAUUGUUGAACCAGACAAAAAAAAUGUAGUAAACUGUGACCUUCUUAACACUUCUGUCCAGGAGUGACAUGUUAUUUGAUUUCAUGUCUUCUUUUUCAGAAUCAGCCACAUGACCUCAUUGAAUUCAAUAGAAAAGGCAGAAUGGCCCUUCCCAGGAAGAGUGGAGAACUGAAAUAUUUCUGAACAUUUUUGUGGACUACCAUAGGAGGCAUGAAGUACUGGGGACUGGUUGGAACAAUCACCUUUCUUUUCUCAACAUCUGGGAACUGAGGGAAGAUCCAAGAAGAAUUGAGAAGAAUUGAUAGAAGAGGCUGAACAUUUCAUCAGACUUUGCCUUGGCUAAAAGUUUGGAUAUAUGCUCAGAGGCACUCAGAUUCAAUAAAAAUUCAAUUUGAAAAAAAAA
rnacentral:lncRNA from 1 species